rnacentral:lncRNA from 10 species
ACAGAUGUGAGCCACCACGCCUGGCCAGUCUCUGCAUUUUAAGUCGUUAUUUGAUUACAGGGCCCAAAGAUGUAUGUGUCCAAACCCACCCAAAACAAGUCCACAGAGGGUGUUAAGAGUGAAAGAUGUUCAGCUAGAGCUCACUAAAUAUCUCUUUUCCUCCUUCCAGAGGGUGCAAUCAAUGCAAUCAAUUCCCUUAUAAAUGCAGAUAUAUCUUGCUUUUUUUUUUUUGAGACAAGGUCUCACUCUGUCGCCCAGGCUGGAGUGCAGUGGUAUGAUCAUAGCUUAUUGAAGCCAUGACUUGCUGGGCUCAAAUGAUCCUCCCACCUCAACUUCCUAAGUAGCUGGGACUACAAGUGUGUGCCACCAAGCCAGGGUAAUUUUUUAUUU